CCAGAACUGGUUACAAAAAUCCAUAGUUGAGGACAAAACUUUGCCAAGUAUCUGACAUUCUGAAGAUAGCAAAAUUAGGGAUGAAAAAAGAAAGACACUUCUGAAUUCAUUAGAAGACAGCCAAACAAUUUCUAUGACCUUCUACUCUUACCCCUGAGCUUUCUAACCCCAGUCUAUAUACACUGAAAACUAAAUAGGAGAGAGUUGUGAGAGAGGAGGAGUCACAAGAGUCCUGAGGCAUUGAUUGUGUUCAGAGGAAGAGUCCACAGAGAAUCAAGGGGAAAGAGAUCCUGAAGAAUCCCUCAUAACAGCUGAGGAUGCCAGUGAAUAAAGGAGACCAGCAUUUCAUUCCUCUAUUAGAAUACUUCUGCAGCAUCAAAUUUUCUGAUCUUCUCUCUACAUUUAUUUGAACUAGAGAGAAAAGAAAUAGAGACAGCAGGGCAGUGAAGAGUUCAACCAUGUAGCAAUUUUCACUUCCAUCACUUGGCAUGUCUAGUCUGUGGCUCAAUUAGAUACAAAGAAAGUUAGCCUGACCUUUACCCAAGAUUAUCACCUGCUGGAAAAAUAACCCGAGUAACAAGUAGUUAUGGGUACUCUGCUGGGGUAUAUAUGAAAAAGCAGAAGUGAAAAAAUCUUGGCAGUAAUGAGGAUGUCUCCAUAGGGCAGCUGAAGAACUCAACCAUGCCUUCAAUGAAAAUGAUAGCAUUUGUAUUUCUUCUGGCAAGAGAAUAUCAAUGGCCAGUCAGGACUCUCCAGAAGAGCAGCAAUAGCAGAGAGAAGACCACAACACCACCUAAGAAAGAGACAUUUGUCCGUUUCCACCUUUCAUAUUCCCUCUUACCAGACUCCAGCUUCAAAGAGAUAUUAAUCUAGAAGGGAGAGUGGGAAAAUGAAUGGAGAAGACUGUUCCUCCUUUCCACUUCAAGAUGAAGUUCAGCCAAGUCUACUCUUCGUGACCCCAUGGACUGUAGCCCACCUGGCUCCUCUCUUCAUGGAAUUCUCCAGGCAAGAAUACUAGAGUGGAUUGCCAUAUCCUUCUCCAAAAAUUCCUACUGAAGACCCAUAAAAAAAUGAGUGCCUAUGUGAAAAUGAAAGUGUUAGUCACAAAGUCGUGUCCAACUCUUUGCAACCUCAUGGACUGCGGCCUGCCAGGCUCCUCUCUUCAUGGGAUUCUCCAGGUAAGGACUGGGAUGCCAUUUCCUACUUCAGGGUAUCUUCCCAACCCAUUGAUUGAACCCGAGUCUCCUACAUUGUAGGAAGAUUCUUUACCCUCUGAGCCACCAGGGUAUAGUUACACAUGUACAUGGGGUAAGUACUUACCAGGGUACUGUUACCAUGUGUAACUAAAAUUAUAUGAGGUAAUUUUAAUAAAGCAUUUUGAAUUAUUUAGAGGAAAUGUAAUUAUUUUAAUGAGAACUUCCAUUUACUAUAGAAUUGUCUAGUAUAACUUUUAUAACCAUAAUUUUCAAAUACUUACAGAAAUUAAUUUCCUUUGUUGAUUAUCAUAUUGCCUAGAAAAUGUACAAAAUAUUGCCUAGAAUUU
ensembl:lncRNA